AUUGAACGCUGGCGGCGUGCCUAACACAUGCAAGUCGAGCGGUAACAGGUGUAGCAAUACAUGCUGACGAGCGGCGGACGGGUGAGUAACGCUUGGGAAUCUGCCUAUUAGUGGGGGACAACCCGGGGAAACUCGGGCUAAUACCGCAUACGCACUACGGUGGAAAGCCGGGGACCGCAAGGCCUGGCGACUAACAGAUGAGCCCAAGUCGGAUUAGCUAGUUGGUAGGGUAACGCCUACCAAGGCGACGAUCCGUAACUGGUCUGAGAGGACGACCAGUCACACCGGAACUGAGACACGGUCCGGACUCCUACGGGAGGCAGCAGUGGGGAAUAUUGGACAAUGGCGAAAGCCUGAUCCAGCGACGCCGCGUGGGUGAAGAAGGCCUGCGGGUUGUAAAGCCCUUUCAGUGGGGAAGAAAAGCCUCGAGCUAAUAUCUCGGGUCUUGACGUAACCCAUAGAAGAAGCACCGGCUAACUCUGUGCCAGCCGCCGCCGU
rnacentral:rRNA from 1 species